UACCUCAGGGAUCUGUACUUGGACCCAUUCUCUUUAAUAUUUUUAUUAGUGAUAUUGCAGAAGGUCUUGAUGGUAAGGUAUGUCUUUUUGCUGAUGAUACUAAGAUAUGUUGUUAUGGGCAAAUGCAAAUAUUACAAGUUUUAGAAUGAAAUGUUGUAUUUCUUAAACUGUGUACUUUGUCUUUAAGAGAUAUUGCAAACUGACAAGGUGUUAGACAUGGAACAUAUUGUUUUUCAUAGAUGUUUCUUUAAGCAAUAACCUCAGUGCAUAAUAUGUUUGCGCCGUUUUGUCCCAGACGAAUUACAAUAACAAUAAUGCAUAAACAAGCUUCAAGGAUAUACUACGACACUUGCAGUACACAAUAUACUGUGGUAACCCCAAGUUAAUGGAACUUCCCCAAAUCCGGGAAUCUCCCACGACUGCGCACUUACGACUUAGUAUAAACAACAGAUAAGCUAUUCAGACUUUAAGAUGCCAUCUUGAACUAAGUCAGGAAAAUUUCCGUGACGUAUACACCCUUUAGUUAUGGCCUUGUAUGUUUGCCAAGUUAAGGGAGGUCCUAAAAUGAAUAAAGUAAAAGAAGUGGUACUUUUUCAUAUAUGAACUAUGGUAACUCUAAAAUGACG